rnacentral:lncRNA from 1 species
AAUUUUUCAUCUUAUUUGAUGUUUUUGGCACUAUUAGACUAAUUACUGCGCUUAUACAGCCACAAAGUCAGCUAGUAAAAAAACAGUUGAAGCCCGAACGGAGCGGAAAACGGCCCAGGUAUUAAGUCAGUCCACGUCCUGAUACCAGACCCGAUGAUUCUAACAAGGAUGCACUUCACCAGAAAUACGCGCCCACACCACAGAAAACAGUGCAAAAUCAGACCGAAAGAGCGCCGCCUGUGACAUGACGAUGCGUGGCAUGCUCGGUGGUACUUCGACCAAACGUGGAAGAAAUAACGCCUAUCAGCAAACUCCAUAAAGAAGGGCAGACAACUUCAACCCUGGAGGAUACCGAUUUGUUGAUAUCAGCACUACAGUUAACACUACUGUUCAAGCUAUGCUGGACCAUCAGCGUCAAAAGCCUGCUUAUGGCCGGCCUGUGCUACUGGCAGAGAAGGGAACACAUCAGGGCCUUGCUGUUUCAGAAGUGCUGGCAUGCCAAUGUCAUUUCUCAACGUGAAGAAGGAAGCUACUCCGAGAUACCUCGUCAAGCUGGUAGAGGUCGAAGGACAGCUACUCCAAACAUGGCCUUCCAGGUUGGCCUCCUCAACCCUGGUACUACAGCAACCGGGGCAAGACGACUCUUGACAGCCAUGGGUACAUGUUCCCUCAAUAAAGGGACUGCAUAAAAUAUCACGUCACUGUGGGGACAUUAUUAUCAAUGAAAAUGUUGGAAAUAUGGCUGACAAGCAGAAACUGGUUAAAGAUAUUCAACAGUUACAGGGCUUUGAUCGACAGGCCCACUGCUGUAGAAUCAGGUAGGCAAUACAACAACCCUCUCAGAAACUGCCGGAAAAAAACACUAUUUGUGCCAGCAACACAAACUAGGGAUGUGGUAUGUGAACAUAUAAGCACAAAGAAAAUGGUGAUAAUGUUCCACCAUGAGAGUAAACUUUGUAUUAAUGUUCAAAUCAAAUGUCAUGCAAAUACAGCAACAAAUAAGCACAUGUUCUGAGCACAUGUCAUGUAGUGCUACAUGCCCGGAAAAUUACAACAUGGGGGAUGAAAGUGUAAUGGGCGUAUCGCAUAAGCUGAUUGUCUGUGGUAGGCUUCCGUAGAUUUGGAGUGUGUUGUGAAGACAGGCAAGGGUUUCCAUGAUAACUGUUGGUGCAUUAAGUUUCCUUGUGACUUUACAGAAUCAGCAUUUAUGUUCAUAUUAUAAAAAUCACUAAUUUUAGUAACAGUUUUGGCCCAGAUUCCUUGGUAAUGAUUGGCUUAGGUGACAAAAAUCAUGAUAAAGUUGUAAUGCAUUAACGUCGAUCACGUGAUUGUAGGCCCGCCAAGCUGCCAUUUUGUGCCAGCCCUGACAAAGACGUGCUCAUCCUAACCGAGACAUUUUCCAAUCAUUUUUGGCAGUAUUGUUUUCGGGAGUAUUGUUUUCUAAAUGUUUUCAACAGUUAAAUGACAAGUAUUGUAAACCGUAGGACCAGUGAAAGGAUCAAAGGAUAGAUUAUUUUCCUUCUCUGUUCGUAUUUGUCGCCCUGUGUAGCACGGCAAAUUACAUUAGUCAUACAUGUAGGUGAUACGACGCUGUGUUGAAGAAGCACAGAGAUUGGCAGAGCUUUGGAUUGUUAUCGUUACAUGUACUUAUUCUCAAAAGGGAAAUAUUCCAUGUUGCACAUGUAGUUGUGAACGAUUGUUGCAUUUCAUGAUAAAUGGGCUUCCAUCGCUGACUAAGACGGCUGGAAAUUGUUGAAAUCUAAACUACGGAAGCCGAGUGGUACCAUGAAUUAGGUACCAAUUUCCUUAGUGUGGAAACCUUUUGAGCAUUUUUGGCUGUCCUUAUUACUUUUUGAGAGUUCUUCAUUCCUAGAUGUAUGGUGAACCAUGUAUGUCACUAUAAGAUAAAUCACAUAUACUGAAAUUUGCAGAGAUUUUUCAAGUGAUAGCUUUGUGAAUUACUUCACACAGUGGUAAUUUUUACCUUGUGUUUGAUGACCACAUGGUGUUGGAAAGUUAUUGUUGUGCACCUUGCAGGGAAUAGUAACAAGUGUGCUCAUUUUUUCAUAGGUAUUGAAGCUGAUUUACAAAAUCAGUACUUGAUGUUCAUCUAGCUACGGUAGCCAGGCUGUGCCAUUACUGGGGUAAGCAAGCACAGAAAUCAGCCAAUUGUUUAAAUUUAGCAUGUUGUGGUAUUUCCACAUACUUUAUUUAGCUUUUCUUGUACUUAUAGAGUUUUCUGAUUUUAUAAGGUGCUUGUACUUGCCAAAUUGUGUUGCUGAUGCAACAUUGCCGUUACAUGUACAUUCCCAUUUCUGUAAAUUGAGUUAUAUCUUACAAGAUGUUCUAGUUCAUUUAACAAAAAAGUCGGGGAUGCAUCCCCAGAGGUGACUUAUGCCAGGCGCUAAAUGACAUUUAUGAUAUACGGUGCCUUCUCUGAUGUUAUUUAGAUACUGGUACAUGUAUAAUUAAAUCCUUGUCGAAAUUGUGUAUUUCACAUGCAGGAUUUUUCUUAGGGAGACUGCCUACGCGCUCCCUGUUAUUAAACGGCACAUUCAAAGAACCUCUA